rnacentral:rRNA from 1 species
UACGGAGGGUGCAAGCGUUAAUCGGAAUUACUGGGCGUAAAGCGUGCGCAGGCGGUUUGUUAAGUCCGCUGUGAAAUCCCCGAGCUCAACUUGGGAAUUGCAGUGGAUACUGGCAGGCUGGAGUACGGUAGAGGAAGGUGGAAUUCCCGGUGUAGCAGUGAAAUGCGUAGAGAUCGGGAGGAACACCAGAGGCGAAGGCGGCGACCUGGAUAGGAACUGACACUCAACUACGAAAGCGUGGGGAGCAAACAGG